CCUAAAAUACAGAGAUAUCUGAACUGUUUUUGGAAGGGAUUUGACUAUAAACCCGGAUUUGAUUUAGAUAAAAGAUUUUCAGAAUAUUUUUUUGGGGAUGAAUGGUUGAAUCGGGGGUAGAUGAGCAGAUCAAAUGUUGUCAGUGAAUGUAGUCGAUCCAAACAGUUUAAUUUUCCUUGUUAAGAAGUAUCUUGGAUGGAAUUUUCGAUUUCAGGGGAGAAGAAUAUUUUCACUUAUUUGAAAGAAGAUAUGGAUAAACAGAAAAACCCUAAUUCUAUCUCAAAAUAAGAGAAAUACAAUCUAAGAAAGCAUUUCGAUUUUGGUUAAUCUUCAAUUAUUUUUGGCGCCAUGUAAAUCAAAAGGAAAAAAAGCUGGGCGGGAUUCUUUCCCGCUUGAUCUUCCAUUUUCUCUUCUAUAAAUACAACCCCAAAGUUAUCAAGUUAUCACAAGAUACUGAUUGAAGGCUGAUUCCAUCCCUUGGUUAUCCUAAUUUCAAAGACUUUCAGAACUCUAACUUAAAGUGAAACAUGGUUAACAACAAUGAACAACCAGCUCUAGCAACAUCAUCUUCUGAGGGCACAACACCCACAUCAAAGAACUUACGGGGAGCGUAUGACACGAUGAAAGCGCUAAUGCGGCAACGCAGUGAAGCGGGAGCUACACCACCCACUGAGGCAAAAGUAUGUGCUUAGGUUUUAAAGAAAAAGCAAAGACGACGUCGUUCUGCGACCACUGUUUCUAACAAUGAAGGAAUUCAUGAGAUGCUACAAGCGCAGGCUGAUAGAAUUCAAGCUUAGGAUUAGCAAAUAUGUGCCCAGAAUGAGGUUAUCAAAAAGUUGAAAGAAGAUAGGGAAAAGGUCAUAAGAAACAUGUAGGAUAUGAUGAUACGUUCUCUCGGGCUAAACAACAUUACGGCUGAUGGAACUGAAAGUUGAAUGCAGUCACAUUAAUGUUUUAGUCUUGGUAUUUUUUUUCUUUUCCUAAACUGAUGUUAUUGGUAGAGUUUAUUUAUCAGGUUUUUUCUA